UUCCGGCGAAGCGGUGUUAGAUGACAUCGCUUUUAUACUUUUGCAUCCGCCCCUGUUCCUGUGUAGUUUGCUAUCUAUUACAGAAGAGCAGAUUUAUCCUGUGAGCACCCGAAAGAUAAUGACCGCGGAUUCCCUCGUUAAAAGAAACACUUAGUUAAAUACUUCUCCUCUAUAUAACUCAGAAGCCGUCCAGUAGUCGCAGAAGCGAAAGAGAGUGAGGGACUGGGAGACCGCAUGUGCGGAAGGUUUUCUGUAGAAGCGAAUACGCACCUACAGUGAAGGAGCGCAGAAGUGGAGGAGCUGUCCUUGGAGGAAAGUCGCACUUGCGAGAAAUCCUGCGUAGAAGCGACUAAUGGACCGCAUGUGCGAAGGUUGAGCUGGGCAGUGAGUUUAUAUUACGAGAUUUUGCCCAUUUUUCUUUCAUUCUUCACUUGGUUGGGAUGAUUUUACAGAAUGUUGGCAUAAUAUUU
rnacentral:lncRNA from 1 species